UUCGACGUGAGUUUCCGAUC
rnacentral:misc_RNA from 1 species